UAGGGAAUCUUCGGCAAUGGACGAAAGUCUGACCGAGCAACGCCGCGUGAGAGAAGAAGGUUUUCGGAUCGUAAAACUCUGUUGUUAGAGAAGAACAAGGACGUUAGUAACUGAACGUCCCCUGACGGUAUCUAACCAGAAAGCCACGGCUAACUACGUGCCAGCAGCCGCGGUAAUACGUAGGUGGCAAGCGUUGUCCGGAUUUAUUGGGCGUAAAGCGAGCGCAGGCGGUUUCUUAAGUCUGAUGUGAAAGCCCCCGGCUCAACCGGGGAGGGUCAUUGGAAACUGGGAGACUUGAGUGCAGAAGAGGAGAGUGGAAUUCCAUGUGUAGCGGUGAAAUGCGUAGAUAUAUGGAGGAACACCAGUGGCGAAGGCGGCUCUCUGGUCUGUAACUGACGCUGAGGCUCGAAAGCGUGGGGAGCAAACAGG
rnacentral:rRNA from 1 species